UUUCUUGUUGUUUCCACCAAAUUCUGACUAACAUCUGAAUGUAGAGCUGAAUGGAGACUCAUCAGACCAGGCAACAUUUUUCCAUCUUCUACUGUCCAGUUUUGGUGAGUCUGUGUGAAUUGUAACCUCAGUUUCCUGUUCUUAAUUGACAGAAGUGGCACCUAGUGUUGUCUUCUGCUGCUGUAGCCCAUUUG